UUUUCCCCCUAGCUAAGUGAAAAAUACACAAGUGUGGCACAAGUAAAAUACUUAAUAAUAGGAUGUUUAUGCAACUGGGCACUGGCAAAGAAGGCACAGGAGUUUUCCAUUGCAUUGAACAAAAUAUCCGAUUCAAGGCAUCAACGGAGGGGGACAGCAACCAGCCCACAACCCACACCAAAGAGCACAGACAGUUUCAUCGUGCAAGAGAGACCUUACCAGAUCCCAGAAAGUUGAUGAAGUAGCGUUCGCAAAGAGGUAUUGGACAUGCUCGAGU